ensembl:lncRNA
AAUUUGUUUAUUUCUCAGAGAUAGGGAAAGUUAAAGGAAGCAUUUUUCCCCCACAUUUAACCAUAAACUUACAGAAGCAUCUGUCAUCAUUAGCUGUCAAUAGCUGAAGAUGUCCUGUUGCUGUAAAAAGUUCACCACCACACUGGUAUGGUUGGUUGUGUCAACCACACAAUAGCACACAAUGUCUUUUCUAUUUCUCAUGAAAGACUGAUGUGAGGAAGUGAGGUUAGGGGAUUUUAGUCUUUCCUAUCAUCUCUGCAGGUGGCUUCCCAGAAGCUCUUGAUGGAGACAUAAUACAUACAGGAGACCCCCAAGUAUCAUACACUAUGCAGGAGUUGGGGGCUUGAGAAGACAGCUUUAUUCAAGAAAGCAUUGAGAUAGUGUGGACAGCCCUACAGAACCCUAGAAACAUAAGCUAAAGACAAACUUGAAGACUAUUGACGUGGAUGCCCCACAUACGGUUUGAGAUUUCCCCUCAAGAAACAACUAAAAUCAUCUUGACACCAGUUGUUCACUGACCAGCAGCAAAAGUCAGUGAGACACAAUAGCAGCAGGUCUCAUCAGGUUGCCGCCUGUGGCCUCUGCUCCAGGUCAAACUAGAAUCCUACAAGCAAUCACCGGUCCCUGUUUGACUAUUUCUUAGACCAGUCUGAGCUGUUUGCUCAGUGCUGCCUGUGAGUACUCUGUCCACCCAGCUGAAAAUUGGCAGAGCUACUCUGAAGAUUGUGCCCGACUCGCUUUCUGGGGUGAGGUGAAGGCAGAGAGAUGCUUUAAGGUUCUUCUUACAGGACUGAGUCAUGGUAAUGGUGGACUUUUGUGGGAGAGUUCUGGCCUGCUAGAAAAAUAAAAGGCAUUCCAGUAGGCAAUGCUGAUCUGUUUAUCGAAAGGGAACUUCAUCAGGCUCAUCUUGCCGUCCUCAUGGAAGACUCAUUCCGUCACUGGAGUGACAAUGCUGAGACACUCAAGACAGCAAACUUGCCACAGAGCCCUUUUCUGUGUCCCACUAUGAGCAACCCUAAGAAGUCUGUAUGAAGAAGGACUAAGGGUGUGGUUCCAUCCCUGCACUGCACCAAAAGGAUGUGGUGGCACAUGCCUGUGAUCCCAGGACUUGGGAAGUAGAGGCAAGAAGAUCGGGAGUUUGGGAUCAUCCUCUGUGACAGCAAGUUUGAGACCAGCCUGAACUUCAAGAGAUCCUAUCAAAAACAAAACCUGUUAAACAAAAAACCCCACAUACCUAUGUGUAUAGCUGUAAGGGAGCCAGGCAUGGUAGUACAUUCCUUUAAUCCCAGCAUUUAGGAGGCUGAAACAUGAUUUCACAGCCGGCCUUUCUCCAAAGAAAUGGAAAUGUGCAGGUAUUUCCCAUUAGGGAAACAAAGGCCUAUGAAUUGUAUGAAAUAUAGAACCAGAGAGGCAAACUUAAAUGAUAUAAAUAGAUCGCUUCAUAGAAAUCAGUAGAUUUUGAUUUCAUCUACUACUGGAGACAAGCAUUGUUGGAAAAGUUUUCCUAACAUAGCUCUAGGCUUUGCUCUUAGUAUGAAAACACUACUGUAAGUUUUAAAGAAGUCACUUAUUUUGCUAUUCAUAUUCUGUUUAAUGUCUGAAAAUACCUGUCUUAAAACUUUGUAAAACAAACUUGAAGUUAUAGGUAAGGUAAGCCAUCACCAGUACUGCAGGUCAAACAUUGAGUUUUGGAAAUCGUUUUGAUAUCCCAUAAUACUAAUAUCCUAGUAGUUUUUUAUUAUCUGGUUCUGUUUCCUAGUUGAUAUCCCCAAUCCCAUGUUUUUCUAUAAUAUUCUAAACAGCAAAAUGACAGUGAAGGUUGCUCAGUUCUAAGCUGUGGUUCCAAAUGAAAAGUCACAGUCUUCUGUGAAAUUAAGAAUUGAUUUUUUGUUUUUGUUUAAUCUGGGAGGUUGUGAUACACCCCAUUACAAAAAACUGACUCAAUUGAACUGACUCAAAUCACUUGAUCAUUAGCCAACUUAAUUGAUCCUUAAAGUGGUCUCUGUACACAAGCACUCAUGAGGUUUGUGAAGGAUUAGAAGAGGCUGGACCAAAACUUGGAUUUCAUUCCAGUUUGGGGCUGAAUCCUUUUGGCCCACAAAAGGACAACCAAUCACACUGAGUCUCAUUUAUCCUGUAAUCUCCAUAUAUGUUACAAGAGAAUAGUCAAGUAAGGUCUAGCAACCUCAUGGUCUGCUAAGAAAGUGCUGAGGCCAGAGAAGGUUGGUGGGGGGUUGGGGGGGUACUUGCUUACCUUCCUCUCCAUUUAAUUGGUAACAACUUGAAGCUUCCAGUCUACCCCAGCUGGACUGGGAGUGAGACUUAACCUGGAAUCCCUCAGUGAGGGGUGCAUUUACAUAGAGCACCCCAUGAAUGUGAGUGACCCCAGCAUGUGGUGCAGCUCUUGCCUAGAAUACCCUGGUGAGGGAUUAGGGGUACGCUAGAGGGUGGGGUAUGAUGUGUGGCUCAGGAGUGGAG